CGGCGUGCUUAACACAUGCAAGUCGAACGAGAAAUCUUUAGCUUGCUAGAGAAAGUAAAGUGGCGCACGGGUGAGUAACGCGUGGGUAAUCUGCCUCCGAAUCGGGGAUAGCAUUGCGAAAGCGAUGCUAAUACCGGAUAAAAUCUGGUUGGCUUCGGUGAACCGGAUCAAAGGUGGUCUCUUUAUAAAAGCUACCGUUUGGAGAUGAGCUCGCGUACCAUUAGCUAGUUGGUGAGGUAAAGGCUCACCAAGGCGACGAUGGUUAGCUGGUCUGAGAGGAUGAUCAGCCACACCGGAACUGGAACACGGUCCGGACUCCUACGGGAGGCAGCAGUGAGGAAUUUUGCGCAAUGGGUGAAACCCUGACGCAGCAACGCCGCGUGAGUGAUGAAGGCUUUCGGGUCGUAAAGCUCUGUCGGGUGGGAAGAACCCACCAAGUGUUAAGACCACUUGGUGCUGACGGUACCACCGAAGGAAGCACCGGCUAACUCCGUGCCAGCAGCCGCGGUAAUACGGGGGGUGCGAGCGUUAUUCGGAAUCAUUGGGCGUAAAGGGCGCGCAGGCGGUUUUGUAAGUCAGAUGUGAAAUCCCGGGGCUUAACCCCGGAAGUGCAUAUGAAACUAUGAGACUUGAGUAGGGGAGAGGGAAGCGGAAUUCCUGGUGUAACGGUGAACUGCGUAGAUAUCAGGAGGAACACCGGUGGCGAAGGCGGCUUCCUGGGACCAAUACUUGACGCUGAGGCGCGAAGGCGUAGGGAGCGAACAGGAUUAGAUACCCUGGUAGUCCACGCAGUAAA
rnacentral:rRNA from 1 species